rnacentral:lncRNA from 1 species
AUUCACGUUGGCCAAUGGUCAAAAGCAGACUAUCAAAAUCCCCAGUAAUCAACUCCUUUAGCGCGUCCGUGUUAGCAGGCAAUGUGCCUACGUUAGUAGGCUACACAUCUGCAUUGACAGGCAGUGCGCCCGCGUUAUUUCCCUGGGCAAAUCCAAUUUUCUACACUGCAAUUUUUUCUUUUGCUUUCUCUUACUUUCCUCCUACUACAUGCUACCUUCAUUGCCCUUUUUAUUGUUCCCCACAACCAGAAAAUAUAAAAAAAAAUACCAACACAAUAUAAUGCAACCAUC